AUAUAUAUUUCAAAGUGCUGUGUACUGUAAAUAAAGGUGACUUGACUUAUUUAAUUUCAUCUUAAUAACACAGUCUCCGGUGGGGCAUGCAGCUGUCGUGGGGUCCUCAUGUUAUCAGCAGCAGAGUUGUAAGAGCAUUUGAUAGCACUGGCUCAAAACCAUAAAACUAUUUUUAACCUGUUACUUAAAUAUUUUACAUUUACCACUGGUUUUUAAACUUAUUCUAACAUGCAUAUUUUUUCUGUCUUUAGGUAACCAAGCGUUUUUGUUACCUGGGGUCUUCAGAUACAGGAUCUGUCUGGCUAUGUGGAGAAAAGGAGAGAAGUGGUACUGAGAUGCCUGAUUGAGUACAUAUGGGAGGGAAAGGAAGACCUCAUCAGUGUCCACCAUAGUCAUGAUGAAACAGAGGUGCACGCUGAGCUUGGCAGUUCCCCACUGAAAAUAUACACGUGCCAUCAGCCAAACACGAUUGGGAUUAUCACAGUAGAAGGACAGCCCAUUGUCAGAGGUGUGCCAAACCUGUAGAAAACCUCCUGUUUGGACUUGUCUAUGCCCACAACCUCUAAUAUCACUCAAAUCUGGUGUAUACUUCUGAGAUAUAUCACAGGCUCUUUGUGGGAUUGGACCCUAUGCAUACUUUUGUAUGUUUUGUAGGUACUGUUAAAAGUGACACUAGUUGACAUUGAAUAAAUGUUAUUGUCUUUAAUCUGUCUUCCCAUCUUUUUCUUCUUCAAUUGAAUUUGUAAUUGUUAUUGAUAAAGUCUGUUUAUGUAAAGUGAUUUACUGUACUGCUUAGAAUAUAGACAUUUAGAUGUAUUUUCUGAGGUAAUAGCCAGGACUUAAUUAAAAUGUUUAUUCACACUUGAUUAGGUUAAAUUUAGUAUGAGCAUAAAGUUCAUAAAACCUAACUAAAAUGAGUACAGGUUACUUGUAGCCACACAUAAAUACGUUACAUAUACCAAGAAAAUUAGGUUUAUCUAACUGACUAAUAUAGCACUUAUUAGUUAACUCAACUUGAUUUUGUUGUGUUUGAAUUAAGUAAUUUUACAGAGUUUAUUAUACUUGAAAAAGGCUGCAAGUUGACUCAACUUAAAACAUCCAAUGCAGCCACUUGCCUCACUUUUUAUAAGUUUGAUCUAGGUAUUACUUUUUACA